CUCAAUGGUAGCUUGUAGCGGGAAAGGUUUCGCCCUUUGCUGUUUACCGUAUGUUACAGUUUUCCACCCCGUUGCAAGCUAUCGCCAAA
rnacentral:antisense_RNA from 1 species